rnacentral:rRNA from 1 species
AGAAGGCCUGAUGGUGUGAGAUUACC